UGCUAGCAGAUAGACGCAGAGCUCCUGUGUUUGAGGUCACCGCCGCCAUCUUAGUGACGGGCAAUGUGGUGUCACAGCGCUCGAGCAAGUACGACGGUUAAGUGUCAGCGCGUGCCCCUCCCCAAGCCCGAGGGGCCCGCAGUAGGUAUGGCCAAGGAAGCAGAAAGGCCUCCAGGCACCUAUUGAGGGAAUCAGACCAGAUGCUCCAAAGGUAAAAGCUGAAAUCCAUUGUGAAGAAGACAAACUCUAAAGAGGUUUUGUGACUUACAUCUGGGAGAGAUACUGAAGAAAUUAAUGGAAUCCAUUCUAGUUGUAGUCAUCUACCACUUAAUGUAGAAUUGGUGGCGUAUUCAACAUCAAUGUUUCAAUUAAUUCAUGUUUAUUUCAUAUUCUAACAUGGUAUUGGCUUUUUGCCUUGUUGA